UUUAAAGCUUAUUCAAGCUCCCGAUGUCGAUCAACUUUCGAAGUAGUUUGCAGUGAAUUAAAUUCAGGGAAAAUUAUAAACCCCCCCCCCCAAUAUACAUUAUUCACUCAACUUACCCCCUUCUACCCUUUCUCUCUCAUCUUUUUCCCUUCAAUGAGUUAUCUUUGCAAAAACCCCUCCAACCCAAAAAAAAAGUAAAAAAGGGUCCAAAAUACCAUUUUCUCUUCGUACCCCUUUUCUACGCCUUCUGUUAGUUUUGUUUCACCCGACGCCUUCUCCCUCAUGGCCUGAGCUCCUCUCCAUCUCUCGUUUUUUCUCUCCAGUCCGAGCCCCCUCCUGUCACGCUCUCUCUCUCCGGCCCGAGCCCCCUCUUCUCACGCUCUCUCUUGUGGGUUAAAGCUCUCUUCCUCUCUCUCUUCGAAGGAACGCCCAAGCUAAGGCUCGAGCUCUCUCCGUCUCUCUCUAUGAAAGAUACCAUUGGGCUCUCAAAAUCUCUAUCCCAGCCCAAACACAAUAGCCCUAUUUUGAUUUUUAGCUUACCCCAAAUCAGCCCCUUCUAAGAAUUAGCAAUGCAAGACCCGAAACAACUAAGAGGCACAGGGGAGCCAUCGACUUCCUCAAGUCAAAGGCAAGAGGAGGAAAAUAUACUUCGUAUUGACGAAUCAACUCCAGCCCUAGUAAAAUGGAAGAUCGAUCAACAACAAGUACCUCUAAUUCAAAAGACCAAGUUGAGCCCAUUGAUGGAUGUUGGGGUAUCGCAUAUCGAUUGUAAUCUAGUGAGGGCAUUUAUAGGAAAAUGGUGCAAGAACACGAAUACUGCAUUUCUAAGCAUCGGUGAAAUGGCUUCAAACCUAUACGAUGUGUGGUAGACAUUAAGGAUACCCGUGACAUGUGAACCUAUAAUCUGCAUCAGGCCUGAAGACUAUGUUGCUUUCGUCAAGGAGUAUAUGGGAGAUUGCCCUAAGGAUGUCACCCCGAUACGUCUAAAACAUACAUGGUUGAUGAGUCGAUUAGGCCAACUGCCAAAAAAGCCGACCAAAUUACAACUCAUGCAACACAUAUGAGCAUAUCUCUUUUAUUUAGUCGAUACAACUAUAUUUGUCGACUCAUCUAAAGGAUCGACGCUUUCAAUAUACUUGCAAUUGUUUUGAGAUUUUGAUGAGGCAGGGAAAUGUGCAUGGGGUGUUGCGGCACUUGCUUUCUUGUAUCGUUCGUUGUCUAACGUCACCGGUGGGGAAAAUAAUCAUUUUAGUGGGUCAGCAACCUUACUACAGUGUUAGAUCUAUGAGCAUUAUUUAGCUCUAGCCAUCAAGUUUACAUUGGUUAUAAACCCAGAAAUGACUAAGGCUUGCAUGUGGAAGAAACAAACACACCACAAAAAUAUCUCAUUUGAUGGCAUCUCGUUUGAUAUGGUGACCUGGCAACCGUAUGAGGAGUCGCAUGAAAUUGCAGAAUACUUCAUCUGUCGAUCAUACCUCAUCGGUUUCAACAUUGUAGAGCAUUAUAUGUUCGAUCGCGUGUUGCGACAAUUUGGGAAGUUGCAAGGCAUUCCUGUUAUGCCACCCAAGUGGGAUAGGAGGGAGAAGAUUGGUUUACACCACUUCUUGGACUAUAGAAUUGGGUAGAUAGAUAAAAGAUUGAAAACAACGAGAACGUAAUGUUGUUAAGGUAGUUGUAGAUAAAUCUGGUGGGGUACUUACAUAAAAGUACAUUGCCUGGUGCAACAUGUUUAUGCAAAGAAAAACCCCAUUUUCCCCCUCGUCGCAGUCACAAUCUCAUGUACGAACCUCCGGAGGCCAAUCCCAUGUACAAACCUUUGCAGGCCAAUCCCAGGAUAGUAGAUUGGUAUACUAUUUAUUAUAUGUUUAUUCUACACGCGUAGUGACAUACAUGUAUAGAGUUACUACAAGAUGCACUUAAUAAUGAAGUAUUAGCAGGGAAAUCCAGGCGUUAUGUACAGGUGGCUUAUGAUUCGCUGUUGAAUAGCACUUAUGUAGAGACAGGUACCAAGGAGACAUCGCGGACUAUGGGUGGAGAAGUGCAAAGUGAAAGUGAGGAUGAUGAUAGUGAAAGAGAAGAAGACGAUGAUAACAGAGAAGAGGAUGAUGAUGGAGAAGAUAAUGAUGAUGGAGAACAAGAUGGUGAAGGCAACGCUAAUAGUGACAGCAGUGUCAAAAAAUCGGUCGGUUAGCUUGCUACCAAUGGGGUGGCGAUUCCGAUGAGGUUCGGUUUUAGUGUACUAGUAAAAAAACACAUUGUCCUGAAAAAAUCGGCUAAAAAACUAGUCGGUCCGGUUUGGCGUUAUAUCGGGUGAUAUAACAAAAUAAUGUGGCCAAAAAAAAUAACGGCCAUUAUUUGUAACAGUGCACGUUAUUUGGGCAGAACCCGUGAUGCGCCAUUUUUUGCAGCUUUUUGUUGCUUUUUCUUGCCAUUUUUUUUUUUUUUGCUCGAUUAUUGUACUAUACCUUCAAAUCCUCUAUAAAUCCAUCAAUAUUGAAUCAAAACUCACAGAUUAGACCGAUUUUGGAAAAGUUUUGGUGUAUUUUUUGGUGUUCAUCAGUUUUUUUAUGAAAAAUCUUCC